AAGUUAGCGGCGGACGGGUGAGUAACACGUGGGUAACCUGCCCAUAAGACUGGGAUAACUCCGGGAAACCGGGGCUAAUACCGGAUAACAUUUUGAACCGCAUGGUUCGAAAUUGAAAGGCGGCUUCGGCUGUCACUUAUGGAUGGACCCGCGUCGCAUUAGCUAGUUGGUGAGGUAACGGCUCACCAAGGCAACGAUGCGUAGCCGACCUGAGAGGGUGAUCGGCCACACUGGGACUGAGACACGGCCCAGACUCCUACGGGAGGCAGCAGUAGGGAAUCUUCCGCAAUGGACGAAAGUCUGACGGAGCAACGCCGCGUGAGUGAUGAAGGCUUUCGGGUCGUAAAACUCUGUUGUUAGGGAAGAACAAGUGCUAGUUGAAUAAGCUGGCACCUUGACGGUACCUAACCAGAAAGCCACGGCUAACUACGUGCCAGCAGCCGCGGUAAUA
rnacentral:rRNA from 1 species